rnacentral:rRNA from 1 species
CUACGGAACUCCUACGGGAGGCAGCAGUGGGGAAUAUUGCACAAUGGGCGAAAGCCUGAUGCAGCGACGCCGCGUGAGGGAUGACGGCCUUCGGGUUGUAAACCUCUUUCAGUAGGGAAGAAGCGAGAGUGACGGUACCUGCAGAAGAAGCGCCGGCUAACUACGUGCCAGCAGCCGCGGUAAUACGUAGGGCGCAAGCGUUGUCCGGAAUUAUUGGGCGUAAAGAGCUUGUAGGUGGCUUGUCGCGUCUGCCGUGAAAACCCGAGGCUCAACCUCGGGCGUGCGGUGGGUACGGGCAGGCUAGAGUGUGGUAGGGGAGACUGGAACUCCUGGUGUAGCGGUGAAAUGCGCAGAUAUCAGGAAGAACACCGAUGGCGAAGGCAGGUCUCUGGGCCAUUACUGACACUGAGAAGCGAAAGCAUGGGUAGCGAACAGGAUUAGAUACCCUUGUAGUCCUCUUCGA